rnacentral:rRNA from 1 species
GAUGAACGCUGGCAGCAUGCCUAAUACAUGCAAGUCGAACGAGAGGAAGGAAAGCUUGCUUUUCUGAAUCUAGUGGCGAACGGGUGAGUAACACGUAGGUAACCUGCCCAUGUGCCCGGGAUAACUGCUGGAAACGGAUGCUAAAACCGGAUAGGUAGCAGACAAGCAUUUGACUGCUAUUAAAGUGGCUAAGGCCAUGAACAUGGAUGGACCUGCGGUGAAUUAGAUAGUUGGUGAGGUAACGGCCCACCAAGGCGACGAUGCAUAGCCGGCCUGAGAGGGGGCACGGCCACAUUGGGACUGCGACACGGCCCAAACUCCUACGGGAGGCAGCAGUAGGGAAUUUUCGUCAGUGGGGGGAACCCUGAACGAGCAAUGCCGCGUGAGUGAGGAAGGUCUUCGGAUCGUAAAGCUCUGUUGUAAGAGAAAAACGACAUUCAUAGGGAAUGAUGAGUGAGUGAUGGUAUCUUACCAGAAAGUCACGGCUAACUACGUGCCAGCCGCCGCCGUAA